UACGUAGGGUGCGAGCGUUAAUCGGAAUUACUGGGCGUAAAGCGUGCGCAGGCGGUUUUGGAAGACAGAGGUGAAAUCCCCGGGCUCAACCUGGGAACUGCCUUUGUGACUGCAAGGCUUGAGUGCGGCAGAGGGGGAUGGAAUUCCGCGUGUAGCAGUGAAAUGCGUAGAUAUGCGGAGGAACACCGAUGGCGAAGGCAAUCCCCUGGGCCUGCACUGACGCUCAUGCACGAAAGCGUGGGGAGCAAACAGG
rnacentral:rRNA from 1 species